rnacentral:lncRNA from 1 species
GUUGCAGUGAGCCAAGAUCAUACCACUGUACUCCAGUCUGGGUGACAGAGUGAGACCUUGUCUCAAACAAACAAACAAAAAAAAGCAACUGGGGAAGUCGUGCUAGAAAAGGGUUGUGCCAUCUCUUAUUAAGUGACCGCCUGGUUCAGAGACUUUUCAAUUAAGUCCCAUAGCCUCGGGCUUGAGGAUGCAUCUGAGGUUGGCUGUCUGCUUUGGGGCCUUCACAAUCUAGGGGAUGGCUGUGGCGUUUCACCGUCAGCUCAGGCCACUGGUCUUGGUUUCUCUGAACCCCGAGGUGAUGGGGUGGUGGUUAUUGUAAUUCUGAUUUCCUGUUUGGGAAGCAGUGUGGGGGUAUUAUUGGAGGAGUUAAAACACAGGGAAUAUCGUCCCCACCCAGCCCCAUAUAACCCACCAAUCACAUAUGUAUUCAUUCUCUUUUGGUACUAAAAUAUACAUAACAAAAUUUGCCAUUUUAACCAUUUAUUAAUGUACAGUUCAGUGGCAUUAAAUACAUUCACAUUGUUGUGCGACCAUCACAACCAUCCAUCUCCAGAACAUUUGCAUCUUCCCAUACUGAAAUGCUGUAACCAUGAUCACUCUUUUAAAAUCUUUAACAGCUUUUAUUGAG